rnacentral:rRNA from 1 species
AGUGAACGCUGGCGGUAGGCCUAACACAUGCAAGUCGAACGGCAGCACAGUAAGAGCUUGCUCUUACGGGUGGCGAGUGGCGGACGGGUGAGGAAUACAUCGGAAUCUACUUUUUCGUGGGGGAUAACGUGGGGAAACUUACGCUAAUACCGCAUACGACCAACGGGUGAAAGCAGGGGUUCUUCGGACCUUGCCCGUUUGAUUUAGCCGAUGUCGGAUUAGCUAGUUGGCGGGGUAAAGUACCACCAAGGCAACGAUGCGUAGCUGGUCUGAGAGGAUGAUCAGCCACACUGGAACUGAGACACGGUCCAGACUCCUACGGGAGGCAGCAGUGGGGAAUAUUGGACAAUGGGCGCAAGCCUGAUCCAGCCAUACCGCGUGGGUGAAGAAGGCCUUCGGGUUGUAAAGCCCUUUUGUUGGGAAAGAAAAGCAGCAGGUUAAUACCCCGCUGUUCUGACGGUACCCAAAGAAUAAGCACCGGCUAACUUCGUG